rnacentral:lncRNA from 1 species
GGAACAUAGUGGAAGAGGUUGCCGAGCUGCAGAGCUGGGCACCGUUAGAAAAAGCUUUCGAAUACAAUGAAAACAUCCAGGAGGAGAGAGGAAUUAGGUUUUUAGAAGAGGAACCCUUCGUUAAAGAUGUGUAGAGGAGCGAGCGCCUCCUCUUAACACCCAGACCUCCUCUGCCCCCCUGAUAAAACAUCUUCUCAAUUACCCGUUAUUUGGGAGGGGGCUGGGGUGAUUGAAGUAUCAAAGGAAGAGGGGUCAACAAGCAGAAAGCAUGAAUUAUUUUCCCUGAAAUGGUCCUGAUACUGGUCCUCUGUUACAUCCCUUUUCACGUCUCCUCCUCAUUUUGCAUAAAGUAUAAUUAGGUUAUUGUGCUUUUGAAUAAAUUAAGCGUGGAUGACUUUCAGGAUGGAGGUCAAAAACAGCAGCAGGCCAGAAAGAGAAGCUGCAGGGACAAGGAAGAAUUAGCACGAGUAUUUACAUUAUAUUAGCCUAUGUAAGAAUUUGACGUUUUUGUCGAGCGCAUCAAAAAACUAAGAAAUAUCUGCACAACAGAGGGGAAAAAACACCACAAAGUAACAAUAAAUGAGUUGAGAGAGUUUGGAAAUUUUCCCAGAAACAAACAAAACUUCUUCCUGUAUGCUGAAAAGGACUUCAAAAGUUUUUAAAAAACUAAGAACUACUAAAAAAAUGACAACAAAAACACAAAAAAGUAGAUUAGACAACCAAAAAAAUCAGGAAAAAACAUUUAAGAUGAAAAAUGACCUUAAAGGGAUAUUCCUGCAUAAAAUUAAUUUAGGGUCAAACACACCAUAACACAGAGUUAGACACCCCCUCGAGAGAUGAAUGUUGCCGACUGCUACAUUCAUCUCAAAUUAUACCAAUUUAAGUAGCAAUACAGAGAGACACGCACUCAACCAAAACGCCACUCUAUAGCCACAAAUAAUGCUCCGAACAGCACCUAACUUCAUCAACAGUACAUAUAGGGUCCUAGCCAUAGUACUAGCCACCAAACAUCUUUUUAACUUGGCCUGAUUUCUUUAGCAAACUCAACUCACCCACUCUCUUCUAGCAGCCACUUGUUUGUAUGGAGAACUUGGGCGAGUCCAUCAACUGCAGCGGGGUGUCGCAGCUCAAGGAAGAACAUUUAUGAUCAUUACUUUAUCAUUUCCAUGAAGUAAUAAUCAUCAAAUUAAUCAAUUUGCACUGCAUGGACUCACCCAAGGUCUCCAAACAAACAAGCAGCUGCUGGAAGAGAGUGGGUGAGUUGUGUUUAGUCUCUUCGCUUAAGAAAUCAGGCAAAGUUAAAAAGAUGUUUGGUGGCUAGUACUAUGGCUAGGACCCUUUAUGUACUGUUGAUGAAGUUAGGUGCUGUUCUGAGCAUUAUUUGUGGCUAUAGAGUGGCUUUUUGGUUGAACACGUGGCUCUCUGUAUUGCUACUUAAAUUGGGAUAACUAGAGAAGCAAGCGGUCGGCAACAUUCAUCUCUCAAGGGGGCGUCUAACUCUGUGUUACAGUGUGUUUGACCCUAGCUUAAUUUUACGCCGGAAUAUCCCUUUAAGAAAAACAGUUAAUAGGUCUCAGUAUCAGCCCUGACCAUCUCCCCUGUUUGUAAGAGUGCACCCUGGUCUGGUCAUGUCCAGGCACAUUCGUCUUAAAAGGUCAGAGGUCACCAGACGAGCAGCAAGCCUCUGCAUUUUUCCAGCGCUGAGAGAUGAGGUAGCUGGUGAUGAAUUGUUUUCUCCGGGCCGUGCCUGUGUGUGCGAGCACGUUAGCGGUCACAAAUUGCGUCUUAAUGAUUCUCUUUACAGAUCAUCACCUCGCCUGGGCGGGCGGAGGGAGGGAGGGAGGCGGGGUAGCUGGGGUGUGAGCUGCACCCCCCCCUGCUGCUCUGCUCUGGUCUGAAUGUUGUUUGGGUGCAAGAGAGUCAAGAUGGAAGAGCUCUGGAGAGGAAAUCGGGGGCAACAGAGCAGGGAAAUGUUUGUGUGUUUGCUGUGUGAAAGGAUGAAUGACAUUUAAUUGGUCUCAUAAAUAUAUACACAGAAUCCCAUAAUGCAGUGACUCUGAAGGCCGUCUUGCAGAACAGGUACAUGCUUUAGGAAAAUAAAGGGAAUUAUGGGAAAUUAAACCAAAAUAAUGAGCAGAGUUCAAAGAUUAUUGUUACUCUCGUUUUAUUGAUUGCACUUUAUUAUACCCGCCGUCUAAGAAGUAAUUACAGUAAAUUCACUUUGGUUUCAGCUCCUGGUUGUACGCCACACUGUAUAUCAAGUGUGAUGUUUCCCUGUUUUCUCACAUUACAGUCCACCAUCUGUACGACUGCGCUUACGAGCUGCUUCAGGAAGUGUCGGUGUAAUUAUCAGUCUUUCCUCUGAUCAUUUUAAAAAGCUCAAAGUCAGCGGGGUGUAGGGAAGAAACGUGAUUGCCUGUUAAACCGCCACACCGCCGGCCGCAGCGUUGAACACACGGCUGACACAUGUGGACCCCCGUGUAUUCAGAACUUUUGCACUCGGGGUUAAAACACAGACGGCAGUGGACACUCGAGCUUAAAGUUUGAUUUUCAGUGAUUUUCUGUUACUCAAACUGUGUUUUAUUUCCCCUUUAUGUCUUUUUCAUUCAUUAAAAUGCUUCACAGUCAUGUAAAGAAAUGCUGGAGUGCAAAACAAACAGAGCCUUUAAAGGGAUAUUCCGGAGUAAAAUUAAUAAAGGGGCCAAACACACCAUAACACAGAGUUAGACACCCCCUCAAGAGAUGAAUGUUGCCGACUGCUUGCUUCUCUAGUUCUACCAACUUUAGUAACGACCGCACGAUAGCAAUACACAUCGGUCAAUGGAACCAUACACAAACCUCAACCAAAACACCACUCUAUAGCCACAAAUAAUGCUCAGAACAGCACCUAACUUCAUCAACAGUAUGAUGUUUGGUGGCUAGUACUAUGGCUAGAACCCUCUAUGUACUGUUGAUGAAGUUAGGUGCUGUUCUGAGCAUUUUGUGUGGCUAUAGAGUGGCGUUUUAGUUGAGGUUUGUGUGUAGUUCUAUAGACCGCUGUGUAUUGCUAUCGUUCGGUCAAUACUAAAGUUGGUAUAACUAGAGAAGCAAGCGGUCGGCAACAUUCAUCUCUCCAGGGGGUGUCUAACUCGAUGUUGUGGUAUGUUUGACCCUUCAUUUCAUGCUGGAAUAUCCCUUUAAAGCUCCUGUAAGCAACUUUAGGAUUAUGUAGACCUUGACGCUCCCUGUGGCCAAGGCAGUCAUUGCUUACAUUGCACAAUAAAUCUCAUCUGGCUGACUUUGGACAGCCAUUAUGAAUAUCUUAUGAGGAAAUUGUAAAAAAAAAAAAAAAAAUUGGCGCCAUAAAAAAAAAAAACAACUUAUAGGAGCUUUAACACUUAGAACUCUGCUAGAUCGCCGGCGAUUCCACGUGACACCAUUAAUAUUUUUUACAGUUUCUCAGGAACAACACCGUGUACCUCUAUGGGAUGAAAAGCGUUCAAAAGCUUACCCUUUUGGAGAUCUAUCAAGGGUUUCCAGGCAUUUCUACACCUGCCACAAGGUUUAGAAUCCAGCCACAAAAAUAGGUGUUUGAUCAGAGACGUUUGAUGGUAAAUCCGCAGUGAUAUACCAGUGAAAACAUGAUUAUUUAUCAUAUUGUUUUGAAAAAAAUAUGAUCGCUAAAAGUCGCUAAUGUCUUCCGGGUUUUGCAAGCUGUUUUGAUGACAUCUUUUUCAGUCAAACUUUCGACCAAUUGCAUGGUCUCCUAUUCUUCCUCUAUUGUUCUCUUGACGGUAGUGUCCAAUAAGAGGCAACCAAAGAUCAACAAGAGACAAGAAAGUUUCCCGCUUGUCUGCAAAAUAAGAAAUAAUGGUCCUCAAUGCUUGGAAACAAGCAAAGAAGAGAUUAUGAGCAGUAUGAUGUGGCUCUCUGUCUCAUCCCAGACAGGAACUGCUUCAAGGAGUGGCAUUAACAACUGGAAAUAGCAAAAAACGCCUGGAAGAAUUAGUGUAAAUAUGUAAAUAGUUUCUGUUGUGUGUUUGUUCCAAUCCCAAUAUUUCUUCUCCUGAUAGCCAAGACUUAACAGAAUGAUGUGCAGGUGAGAAAAGGCUUGGUCAUUGUAGAUUUAUGUGUUUUUUGAGCAAAGUACAGUUGGUAUCAAUUUCCGCUUUUGUUUUUUGGUUGACUUUGAUGGUUCUGAAUCUACAGUCACAUUCAUUUACCAUAAUUUUUGCAUCCAUAAACUGACAGCUGAGGUUGUCCUGAAAAAAAGAUGAGUAUAUAUUUGCUGUGCAGAAGCAAAAUAGCAAAAUAUAGCUGGGAGUUCUAAGGGUUAAUGUCAACGGCUACUGUGCUACACAGACAUUACAUGAAGGAGAGUUCACAGUAUAAGAACACAGCUAAGGAUUUUGUUCCAGGCAGAACUUGUUGUCGCAACCGAUUCAGUUUUGGCAGCUGCUCCAUAAAAAAAAAAAAAAAAGUGUUAUGAUUGGUGGCGCUGCCUUGUGGGAGAGGGUCUCAAUUUCAGCCCCCAUUCUCUCGGCACCAUUAGCUGACAAAAAGACCAGAGGCCAGAGAGAGAGGCACAUUUCUCAGGUGGUAUGGAGUGUCAGGAGAUGAUUUGUGGGUGUCUGGAUUAUUUGAGGCACUCGGUCUUGUUUGAAACUGUAAAUGGAUGUAUAUUCUGUCUGCUGUCAAACAGGCUGAUGAUGAAGCAGGACGCUGUGCAGACUGAGCUCAUGUAAUUGGCAUGAUAAAUCAGUGACACGCUGUAAAGGACAGCAGUGAUAUUGAUACCUUUGUCAUUUUAGUACCUAUCACAGCUAACUCCAGAAAUCCCGUUCCCUUGGCGAUGCUGAGAUUUACAUAAUUAUACCGCUAAAAUGAAUCCCUGUGCGAUGAAUCCCUCUGACUUCUUUUUUUUUGUUCGGUGUGUCUGGACAAAAUGGUAAAACGAGGAAGGACAGAUGGAGAGGAAAGAGGCGACAGCAUGUGAGGAAAGGUUAUGAAUACAUCAGUGGCCUACUGAGCCAACAGGAUGUGGCAGCAUGGGUGUGUUUGCACAUGCAGGUGUGUGUGUAUGUGAGAUGAACGCAUUUGUAUGCAGUCUGCGUCUCAAAUCAGCCGCCUGGUGAAGACGAAUCGCUCUGUCUUGAUGCCAAAUGUUAAUGCUGAGACAAAGGACUGAGAUUGAUCCAAAUCAACCAGAGAGGGUGAAUUUCGUGUAAACCGGCUUAAACUGGACAAUCAAACUUUAACAGAAGAUUCAGUCUGGCUUCCUUUUGUGGCGUAAAUCUUCAAAAUUGUAUUUUCACUUUUUGUAUCUUCAGUCUGAAACAUGAUUUGAAUGCAUUCUGCUUUAAUCGUAUUUUUCAGCUGAAGUUGUGUUGCUAUUGAUUUACCAAGACCUCUCCACCUCUUGUAAAAAUGAGUGUUUUAUUGGCAUCAGUCUAUCUGCACAAAGGAAACAUCUUUUCAUUAAUAGUAAAAGCACUUAGACGCAACGUCUCCUCAUCCCCUACCCAUGAUAAAAACCAAACUCCUUAUAGGCUUGCCAUUUCCAUGCUACCUAACCCUGAA